rnacentral:rRNA from 1 species
UUUACCUAGGGGGGCAGCAGUGGGGAAUAUUGCACAAUGGGGGAAACCCUGAUGCAGCGACGCCGCGUGAGUGAAGAAGUAUUUCGGUAUGUAAAGCUCUGUCAGCAGGGAAGAAAAUGACGGUACCUGACCAAGAAGCCCCGGCUAACUACGUGCCAGCAGCCGCGGUAAUACGUAGGGGGCAAGCGUUAUCCGGAUUUACUGGGUGUAAAGGGAGCGUAGACGGCAGGGCAAG